rnacentral:rRNA from 2 species
ACGGAAGGCAGCAGUGGGGAAUAUUGCACAAUGGGGGAAACCCUGAUGCAGCGACGCCGCGUGAGUGAAGAAGUAUUUCGGUAUGUAAAGCUCUAUCAGCAGGAAAGAAAAUGACGGUACCUGACUAAGAAGCCCCGGCUAACUACGUGCCAGCAGCCGCGGUAAUACGUAGGGGGCAAGCGUUAUCCGGAUUUACUGGGUGUAAAGGGAGCGUAGACGGCUUUGCAAGUCUGAAGUGAAAGCCCGGGGCUCAACCCCGGAACUGCUUUGGAAACUGUAGAGCUAGAGUGCAGGAGAGGUAAGUGGAAUUCCUAGUGUAGCGGUGAAAUGCGUGGAUAUUAGGAGGAACACCAGUGGCGAAGGCGGCUUACUGGACUGUAACUGACGUUGAGGCUCGAAGGCGUGGGGAGCAAACAGGAUUAGAUACCCUGGUA